rnacentral:rRNA from 1 species
UAGGGAAUCUUCGGCAAUGGGGGCAACCCUGACCGAGCAACGCCGCGUGAGUGAAGAAGGUUUUCGGAUCGUAAAGCUCUGUUGUAAGUCAAGAACGAGUGUGAGAGUGGAAAAUUCACACUGUGACGGUAGCUUACCAGAAAGGGACGGCUAACUACGUGCCAGCAGCCGCGGUAAUACGUAGGUCCCGAGCGUUGUCCGGAUUUAUUGGGCGUAAAGCGAGCGCAGGCGGUUUGAUAAGUCUGAAGUUAAAGGCUGUGGCUCAACCAUAGUUCGCUUUGGAAACUGUCAAACUUGAGUGCAGAAGGGGAGAGUGGAAUUCCAUGUGUAGCGGUGAAAUGCGUAGAUAUAUGGAGGAACACCGGUGGCGAAAGCGGCUCUCUGGUCUGUAACUGACGCUGAGGCUCGAAAGCGUGGGGAGCGAACAGGAUUAGAUACCCUGGUAGUCCACGCCGUAAACGAUGAGUGCUAGGUGUUGGAUCCUUUCCGGGAUUCAGUGCCGCAGCUAACGCAUUAAGCACUCCGCCUGGGGAGUACGACCGCAAGGUUG